CCCCGUGAACCUUUACUAUAGCUUCACAGUGAACUUUGAGCAUGCUUGUGUAGGAUAGCUGGGAGGCUUUGAACCCGGGACGCCAGUUCCGGUGGAGCCAACCUUGAAAUACCAGCCUGGCAUGUUUGAGGUUCUAACUCUGACCCCUUAUCGGGGUUGAGGACACUGUGUGGUGGGUAGUUUGACUGGGGCGGGUUUCCCCCCCCAAAAAA
rnacentral:rRNA from 13 species